rnacentral:sRNA from 1 species
AUAGCAAUAAUCACUACUCUAUAAGACCUACCAAAUAAUUUAAUACGCGAUCAUUUCUCUUAUAUGGAUAUAUGCAAUGACAGAAGAUCUAAAAGUAUUGACUUAAAUGAUACUUUCAUUUUUGCUUUCUUUUUA